rnacentral:rRNA from 1 species
GCGGAAGGAUCAUUACCGAGUGCGGGUCCUUUGGGCCCAACCUCCCAUCCGUGUCUAUUGUACCCUGUUGCUUCGGCGGGCCCGCCGCUUGUCGGCCGCCGGGGGGGCGCCUCUGCCCCCCGGGCCCGUGCCCGCCGGAGACCCCAACACGAACACUGUCUGAAAGCGUGCAGUCUGAGUUGAUUGAAUGCAAUCAGUUAAAACUUUCAACAAUGGAUCUCUUGGUUCCGGCAUCGAUGAAGAACGCAGCGAAAUGCGAUAACUAAUGUGAAUUGCAGAAUUCAGUGAAUCAUCGAGUCUUUGAACGCACAUUGCGCCCCCUGGUAUUCCGGGGGGCAUGCCUGUCCGAGCGUCAUUGCUGCCCUCAAGCCCGGCUUGUGUGUUGGGUCGCCGUCCCCCUCUCCGGGGGGACGGGCCCGAAAGGCAGCGGCGGCACCGCGUCCGAUCCUCGAGCGUAUGGGGCUUUGUCACAUGCUCUGUAGGAUUGGCCGGCGCCUGCCGACGUUUUCCAACCAUUCUUUCCAGGUUGACCUCGGAUCAGGUAGGGAUACCCGCUGAACUUAAGCAUA